CCUACGGGAGGCAGCAGUGGGGAAUCUUGCACAAUGGAGGAAACUCUGAUGCAGCGAUGCCGCGUGAGUGAAGAAGGCCUUUGGGUUGUAAAGCUCUUUUGUAGGGGAAGAUAAUGACUGUACCCUAAGAAUAAGGUCCGGCUAACUUCGUGCCAGCAGCCGCGGUAAUACGAAGGGACCUAGCGUAGUUCGGAAUUACUGGGCGUAAAGCGCGCGUAGGCCGUUGAGUUAGUUAAUUGUGAAAUCCCAAAGCUUAACUUUGGAACUGCAAUUAAAACUGCUCGACUAGAGUUUGAUAGAGGAAAGCGGAAUACAUAGUGUAGAGGUGAAAUUCGUAGAUAUUAUGUAGAACACCAGUUGCGAAGGCGGCUUUCUGGAUCAACACUGACGCUGAGGCGCGAAAGUAUGGGUAGCAAAGAGGAUUAGAUACCCUCGUAGUCCAUACCAUAAACGAUGAUUGCUAGAUGUUGGAAAUUUAUUUUCAGUAUCGCAGCUAACGCAUUAAGCAAUCCGCCUGGGGAGUACGACCGCAAGGUUAAAACUCAAAGAUAUCGACGNGNGAGAGCGACGACGACGACGACGAGGAGAG
rnacentral:rRNA from 1 species